rnacentral:rRNA from 1 species
AGCGGCGGACGGGUGAGUAACACGUUGGGUAACCUACCUAUAAGACUGGAAUAACUCCGGGAAACCGGGGCUAAUGCCGGAUAACAUUUAGAACCGCAUGGUUCUAAAGUGAAAGAUGGUUUUUGCUAUCACUUAUAGAUGGACCCGCGCCGUAUUAGCUAGUUGGUAAGGUAAUGGCUUACCAAGGCAACGAUACGUAGCCGACCUGAGAGGGUGAUCGGCCACACUGGAACUGAGACACGGUCCAGACUCCUACGGGAGGCAGCAGUAGGGAAUCUUCCGCAAUGGGCGAAAGCCUGACGGAGCAACGCCGCGUGAGUGAUGAAGGGUUUCGGCUCGUAAAACUCUGUUAUUAGGGAAGAACAAACGUGUAAGUAACUGUGCACGUCUUGACGGUACCUAAUCAGAAAGCCACGGCUAACUACGUGCCAGCAGCCGCGGUAAUACGUAGGUGGCAAGCGUUAUCCGGAAUUAUUGGGCGUAAAGCGCGCGUAGGCGGUUUCUUAAGUCUGAUGUGAAAGCCCACGGCUCAACCGUGGAGGGUCA